rnacentral:rRNA from 1 species
UGAGGAAUAUUGGUCAAUGGGCGCGAGCCUGAACCAGCCAAGUAGCGUGAAGGAUGACUGCCCUAUGGGUUGUAAACUUCUUUUAUAGGGGAAUGAAAGAUGGGUCACGUGUGGCCUUUUGUAUGUACCUUAUGAAUAAGGAUCGGCUAACUCCGUGCCAGCAGCCGCGGUAAUACGGAGGAUCCGAGCGUUAUCCGGAUUUAUUGGGUUUAAAGGGAGCGUAGGCGGGGCUGAUGAUCAGUUGUGAAAGUUUGCGGCUCAACCGUAAAAUUGCAGUUGAUACUGGGUUCCUUGAGUGCGGCAGAGGCAGGCGGAAUUCGUGGUGUAGCGGUGAAAUGCUUAGAUAUCACGAAGAACUCCGAUCGCGAAGGCAGCUUGCCGGACCGUAACUGACGCUGAUGCUCGAAAGUGCGGGGGUAUCAAACAGGAUUAGAUACC